AUGCCCUCUGCUGGGCUGUCUGAAGACAGCAACAGUGUACACACAUACAUUUUAAAUAAAUGAAUGAAUGAAUGAAUGUUUUUAAAAAACCAUUUAUUAUUAGUGGGGGCAUGUGUGGCCUUUCCCAGCCUUGAGCAGGCUGGACAGACAGACCUUGAGUGCUUGCCACUCUGGACCUUAUCACCUUAUCGGCCUGAUGGGGCCAGGCUGUGCCUGCUUUGGCUGUAUGUGCAGGUUCCCAUGGGAACUUGGACGACUAGACUGCUGUGCUGACCUUGCUUGGCCACAUCCUCCAGCUGAAACACAGGGUAGUUCUGUGGACUUUCCCGUGAUAAAGCAGUGCUGAACAUUAAACUUUGAGCCUUGAUCAGAGCACAGACUUGACUUCAUUCUUCUCCUGCCCCCACCUUACCCUUUUCAUUUCCAGCCCCCCUUUCAAGUGGACCCAGCUCCUCUGACGCCGCUGGAUGGCUGCAGGCAUGUACAUAUAAAAGUCAGAAGAUUUCGUGGAAUCAGUUUUCUUCUUCUACCUUUCUAUGGGUCACAAGGAUCCUUACACUUGGCAGCAAGUACUGUUAACUGCUGAGUGUUCUCACCAACCAGGCCCAACCAGUAUUGGAUCUUAACAUCAUAACAGGGGUGGUACCUCUGUCCUUAACGAAACAAAGUCACAAAGCCUGAGGUUACAAAAGUUUGUAACUUCAGCACUGGCGCAAGGCCAAGGACAGCCUGAACUAUAAGAGAACCUGUCUCCCAAGAAGGGACAAGGAGACAAGGUGUGGAAUCUGAUUCUGGAAGAAUCACUACCCAUAAAAUAGUACUUACUCUAAAAUACCAUCACUCCACAAUACUCUUAUUCACCGCCCAAUUGAAUACUGCUACAGCCUUUCAAUCUAUUUAUAGAAGAUUAAUUGGAAAUUGAAGAACAUCUCAGGACUGGUGUGGUGGCUCAGUGGCCAAGGUCACUCGCUGCCAAGCCUGACCACCUGAGCUCCAUCCCCAGUGAUCAUAAUUCCUGGCACUCAGAGUAGAAGGAGAGAGCUGACUCCUGCCAGUUGUCCUUUGACCUCUAUAGACUUACUCGGGAACACACACAAAAGACAUGAAUGCUAAAGAAACGUUUUUUUAAAGGACAUAUUGAAAGGCAUCAAGAGAUGCAACCGGCUAAAUAAGACUGUGGGAAAUCCCAGAAUGAGCCGAGGCAGACUAUUGCAGAAUACUUGAAAGUUAUCUGGAUGCAGCGAGGGGCCCUAGAUUCUGAUUUGUAUAAAUCAACGGUAAUAUAUAUGUAUGAAACAACUAGAAAAAUUUGAAUACUGACCGAAUACUAAAUAAUACUUUAAAAUUAAUGCAACUUCUUGAAAGAUUUAAUAGAAACUCCUAUCUUUUAAAGAACCACAGAAAAACAUUUCUGGAUGAAAAGUAACACUUGCCCAAGAGAGGCAGGGGUGGUCCCGCAUGCCGGUAAUCCCAUAACCCCAGCAUUCGGGAGGCUGAAGCUGGAUCAGCACUGGCUGUAUAGUUCGUGGCAGGCCAGACACAAACAGCUACAUAGCAAGACUCUGUCUCCAAAAAAUCAAGAAAACGACGUCAUUAACCAAGACAACAGGAGAUGAGUAAUAAA